GACGAACGCUGGCGGCGUGCUUAACACAUGCAAGUGGAGCGACGAACCAGGGCUUGCCCUGGGGCAGAGCCGCGAACGGGUGAGUAACACGUGGGUAACGUGCCCCAAUGAUCGGGACAACCCGGGGAAACCCGGGCUAAUACCGGAUGUGCUUCCCUCACACCAGAGAGGGAUGGAAAGGAAGCUUCGGCCUCCGCAUUGGGAUCGGCCCGCGGCCCAUUAGCUUGUUGGUGAGGUAACGGCUCACCAAGGCUGCGAUGGGUAGCUGGUCUGAGAGGACGAUCAGCCACACUGGGACUGAGACACGGCCCAGACUCCUACGGGAGGCAGCAGUGGGGAAUCUUGCGCAAUGCGCGAAAGCGUGACGCAGCAACGCCGCGUGGGGGAAGAAGGCCUUCGGGUUGUAAACCCCUUUCAGGAGGGACGAAGCGUGGGCGGUUAAUAGCCGAUCCACGUCACGGUACCUCCAGAAGAAGCCCCGGCUAACUACGUGCCAGCAGCCGCAGUAAGAC
rnacentral:rRNA from 1 species